rnacentral:lncRNA from 1 species
CUUGUUUACACCAAUGUUCUGCUGGCAGUUUGUAAAUCAUUCUCUCCAGCAGGCUCUGACACAGAUUUGAAGUUUGUUUCUGUUUUAUAGGAGUUGGGUUCAUCUCUAGCUAUGCUAGAGGGUUAGAAAAAUUAGAUGAAUGAGCCAGGGGAGACCUCUUCCCUGCACACUUCCGCAUCAUGAAUGAUCGUCACAAUUGACAGGGAUUGUGGAGACUGCAUUUAGCUCCAGGAGCUAGAAACAUAAAUUAAACAGACCCUGCCCUCAAGGGACUUCAAGUCUAAUAGGAGAGGUGGACAAAUGCCUAUCGUUUAUACUCAUGGAAAGCCAGGAAAAAAAGGAAGAAGAAGAAGAAGAGAAAGAAGAUAUGGAUUCAGUUUCAUUCUUUUGUUGGGAGGAGUGAGUCAGGCUGAUGGUAGCAGUGGCCUCCAAAAAGUUUGA